UAAGUCUCAGUUCGGAUUGAAGGCUGAAAAUUCGCCCUUCAUGAAGCCGGAAUUGCUAGUAAUGGCAGGUCAGCAUACUGCCGUGAAUACGUUCCCGGGCCUUGUACACACCGCCCGUCACACCAUGAGAGUUGGGAAUACCCGAAGCCUGUGAGCUAACUUUUAGAGGCAGCAGUCGAAGGUAGAAUCAAUGAUUGGGGUGAAGUCGUAACAAGGUAGC
rnacentral:rRNA from 1 species